rnacentral:rRNA from 1 species
GUGCAGCAGGCGAGAAACCUUCGCAAUGCGGGAAACCGCGACGAGGGGACUCCCAGUGCCUACGCUCAGCGUAGGCUGUUCCCGAGCCUAGAAAGCUCGGGGAGUAAGGGCUGGGUAAGACGGGUGCCAGCCGCCGCGGUAAUACCCGCAGCCCGAGUGGUGGCCACUAUUAUUGGGCCUAAAGCGUCCGUAGCCGGCCCGGUAAAUGCCUGGGUAAAUCGUGAGGCCUAACCUCACGAAUUCCGGGUAGACUGCCGGGCUAGGGACCGGAGGAGGGAGAGGGUACUCCAGGGGUAGGGGUGAAAUCCUGUAAUCCCUGGAGGACCACCGGUGGCGAAGGCGCUCUCCUAGGACGGGUCCGACGGUGAGGGACGAAAGCCAGGGGAGCGAACCGGAUUAGAUACCCCGGUAGUCC